GGUGUGCCUUGCGAUGCUGGCAGGCUAUGCAGCGGCGGCCCCAACCGUAGUAGGCCUUGGCCAUCACCAUCACCACCACGGCCAUCUCCUCGGCUAUGGAGGCUACGGACACGGCCACAUCAUAGGCGUUGCUCCCCACCAUCACCACCAUCACCACUACGUUGAUGACAUCUUCUUAGAUGUUGGCUAUGGCGGGUACGACUACUACUGAACCCUGGACAACAAAAUAGAGCAGCCGAUGACGGACGACUUUUCAACUUGUAGAUGUACACAUUUUCUCCAUUAAUAUUUAUUGAAACUGUGAAUGAGAUUCAUUUUUAUCCUCCAAAGUUCAUAUCUUUCUCAAAUUUUAAUUGAGAAGCUUGAGGGAGUUGCGGACGCUGAGUGGAAUAUCAGUUUAUAAAUUUGUCGCAAAUUCAAAGAUCAACAUUGUGUUACGAAAACAGAUUUCUAAUUGUCUUGAAAUAUUUGAAGUUGUUGCAAUAAGUAUGAGUCCACUCGAUCUAUGUGUAUGUGAGGUUAAAACUAUGAAAAAUAUAUGAACCAACCGCUUUCUAUCGUAAAAUUGGUAUGGAGA
rnacentral:misc_RNA from 1 species